ensembl:lncRNA
AUGCAGGAUGGAUGCACUAAAAGCCUGGGGAGGGGCAGAAAGCUCAGCCCUGGGCAAGCACAAGCACAGCAAACUCGUUCCUUGGCCUUUCAUCUGCUUAAUAACACUCUGUGGCAUCCAGAGAAACCUGGGAAUGGCAAAGAGCACGAGCUCGUCUCAAACAGGGAUCCAAAACCUUCUCCACAUCUCCUGGCUGUGCUGGAGCAGGGCCUGGCAGCAGCUGCUGGGCCCCCAAAGCUCUCCUGGCUUGACUGGGUGGGAAAUGGGAAGAAUUAUUGCUCUGAUUACACCCAAAGGGUUCAGAUGCAGAGAACCCCCCCAAAAAAACACCACUCAAAGCACAGAAAAGCACCAAAAGGAGUCCCAGAGUCCGUCCGUGGUCCCCUCUGCAUCCUCAGAGCACAAGGGAUGUGGCAGCUCGGGAUGGGGGCACAGACAUUUCUCCAAGGCGAGCCCGAAGGUCUGGAGCAGAUCCAUAAAUCCCACCUCCCCAAAUCCGCAUCCCCUGCCCCAGCAGGCAAGGACUGUUCACACUUUGCAUUACUGGGAAGGCUUAUCCUAUAUAAUCCUAUAUAAUCAAUGAGGCAGCAGUUUGAGGAUUUGGUUUGCAGCUCAAAAAGAGGGAAAGAUGCCAUCGGUGGAGCUGAUACCGAGACUCCUGUUCCAAGAAAACCUGAGCCAGCACAGCCCUGCCAGAGCCGAGUCAUGGCUGGAGGGCAAGGGCAGCUCCUGCCUGGCUGAGGUUUGCACCAACAGCUGCUGCUGUGAAUUCCUAGACACAACCUCUGCCUCCUCAGAGCCCCGGGAUUGUCUGGGAGUCAGAGCCAAACCCCAGAGCGGAUCCGCUCUGCCCUCCCCGCCUUGGGAAGGGAAACCUGGCGAGGUCCUCGUGGAGCUGCUGCUGCUGCUGGGGGGCUUCAGAGCAAGGGAAUCAAAGGAGGAUCAGCCAGAGACUCGUUUUGAUGCCUGGGGAGAGCGAGCAGAGCAAAGCCGAGGUCACAGGAGAGGUUUGUGGGUCUGGUUUUGGAGGACUUUGGCCAGAUGUGAUGGGAGCUGCUCCGUGUCCCCCACAGCCUCUCCCAGCCCCAUUUCCAGCUUCCCUCAGAGCUGCCCAGCCCAAGCUGUCCCUCCAACACCGUAACCACCCCCAGAGAACUGCAGGGGAUGUCCACAGCACAUCCAGCAUUCGAGGGCCAGGUUUUCCCUCUCCUAACGUGGGAACAAGCGAUGCCAAUGGGGAAACAGAGCCUCAAGGCCUUGUGGGGCUGUUGUGCCUCUGCUCCUCUCCUGUGCAUCACUGGGCUUGUGACCCCACUGACCCCUCCUUCCUGGCCUCAGUUUACAAGAUUUGCUGUCUGGUGCUGUGGGGACACGAGGAAAAGGCUGCCAUGGGAAGCAGAGGAAGCCCCUGGCACAGUUUGAUGUGCAGGCACAUCCUGCAGAGCCAAGUGUUCGCUGCCACGUGAACUUCACACAGAAACUCAGCCAGGGCUGGGCACAGAGCAGCAGCACAGCGAGGCUGUAAAUAAAAUCAGGACUUUAGCACUGAUUGCA